rnacentral:rRNA from 1 species
UACGUAGGGUGCAAGCGUUGUCCGGAAUUAUUGGGCGUAAAGAGCUCGUAGGCGGUCUGUCGCGUCUGCUGUGAAAACUCAGGGCUUAACCCUGAGCUUGCAGUGGGUACGGGCAGACUAGAGUGCGGUAGGGGAGACUGGAAUUCCUGGUGUAGCGGUGAAAUGCGCAGAUAUCAGGAGGAACACCGGUGGGCGAAAGGCGGGUCUCUGGGCCGUAACUGACGCUGGAGGAGCGGAAAAGCAUCGGGGGAGCGAACAGG